AUUGAACGCUGGCGGCAGGCCUAACACCUGCAAGUCGAGCGGAUGAAGGGAGCUUGCUCCUGGAUUCAGCGGCGGACGGGUGAGUAAUGCCUAGGAAUCUGCCUGGUAGUGGGGGAUAACGUCCGGAAACGGGCGCUAAUACCGCAUACGUCCUGAGGGAGAAAGUGGGGGAUCUUCGGACCUCACGCUAUCAGAUGAGCCUAGGUCGGAUUAGCUAGUUGGUGGGGUAAAGGCCUACCAAGGCGACGAUCCGUAACUGGUCUGAGAGGAUGAUCAGUCACACUGGAACUGAGACACGGUCAAGACUCCUACGGGAGGCAGCAGUGGGGAAUAUUGGACAAUGGGCGAAAGCCUGAUCCAGCCAUGCCGCGUGUGUGAAGAAGGUCUUCGGAUUGUAAAGCACUUUAAGUGGGGAGGAAGGGCAGUAAGUUAAUACCUUGCUGUUUUGACGUUACCAACAGAAUAAGCACCGGCUAACUUCGUG
rnacentral:rRNA from 1 species